rnacentral:misc_RNA from 1 species
UACGGAGGGUGCAAGCGUUAUCCGGAUUUAUUGGGCGUAAAGGGUUCGCAGGCGAACUUGUUAGUCGUCUUUCAAAGACCGAGGCUCAACCUCGGAAAGGAGGGCGAUACUGCAAGUAUUGAAGGAUGUCGGGGCUACUGGAACUUACGGUGUAGGAGUGAAAUCCGUUGAUAUCGUAAGGAACACCGAGGGCGAAGGCAGGUAGCUAGGCAUUUCUUGACGCUCAGGAACGAAAGCCAGGGUAGCGAAAGGG